CCUGUGCUGUAGUGGGCUAUGCCUAGCUGGCGUCCACACUAAGUUCAGCAUCAGCAUGGUGACCUCUCGGGUGCAAGGGGACCACCAGGUUGCCUAAGGAGGGGUGAACCGACUCAGAUCGAAAAUGGAGCAGGUGAAAACUCCUGUGCUAAUAAGUAGUGGGAUCCUGCCUGUGAAUAGCCACUGCGCUCCAG
ensembl:misc_RNA Metazoa_SRP Metazoan signal recognition particle RNA